GCCCCUCGGAGAGAGAGAGCGCACAGGGCUCUGACCUAUGAAUUGACAGCCAGUUCUCUCUGACCCCUCUGGCUGCCAAUUCCAUAGGUCACAGGUAUGUUCGCCUCAAAGCCAGCAGCGAGGA
rnacentral:pre_miRNA from 13 species